GACGAACGCUGGCGGCGUGCCUAAUACAUGCAAGUCGAACGCUGAAGGAGGAGCUUGCUUCUCUGGAUGAGUUGCGAACGGGUGAGUAACGCGUAGGUAACCUGCCUGGUAGCGGGGGAUAACUAUUGGAAACGAUAGCUAAUACCGCAUAAGAGUAGAUGUUGCAUGACAUUUGCUUAAAAGGUGCAAUUGCAUCACUACCAGAUGGACCUGCGUUGUAUUAGCUAGUUGGGGAGGUAACGGCUCACCAACGCGACGAUACAUAGCCGACCUGCAAGGCUGAGAGGCCAAGCUGGGACUGGAGCACGGCCCGGAACCCUGCGGGAGGGAGCAGUAGGGGAUUUUCGGCAAUGGACGGAAGGCUGAACGAGGAACGCCGGGUGAGUGAAGGAGGGUGUCGGGUCGUGAAAGUCUGGUGUGAGUGAAGGACGAGUGGCAGAGUGGAAAGUUCACACUGUGACGGUACCUUAACAAAAAGCGACGGCUAACUACGUG
rnacentral:rRNA from 1 species